UACGGCCACAUCACGUUCAAACACCGCUUCCUGUACGAUCACCGAAGUUAAGCAAUGUCGAGCCUGGUCAGCACAUAGGCGAGUGAUCGAUUGAGAAUACCAGGUGGUGUAAG